AACCUGCAGCAUCUUGCUGCAGGCAUCCAAUGAGCUGCUCCCCUUCCUUUCCUAUAGAGCUGUCGGCAGGAUCGUAAUGGAGGACAUGCUGUCUCCCCUGAAGGGACAGAGGAAGACUGCGGAAGAGUACAUGAACAAUCGCCCCCUAGAGUCUAGUACAGAAUUAAAAUCACCACCAACUAUCUUGGAAGGGAUAGGAUAUGUCAAUAGAGUGCUUUUGAGGGAUGAGAAAAAAUUAAAAUUCACCUUCAGAAAGAGUUGUCUCUUGUAACAAUGCCAUAUCAGCAUGUAAUUUACGUAAGUGACGUAAAAUCAUCAUCUACUUAUGAGGAGAGUGGAGCCCCUUAAUAUUCC